rnacentral:rRNA from 1 species
GCACAAUGGGCGAAAGCCUGAUGCAGCAACGCCGCGUGAGUGAUGGAGGCCUUCGGGUGUAAAGCUCUGUCUUUUGGGACGAUAAUGACGGUACCAAAGGAGGAAGCCACGGCUAACUACGUGCCAGCAGCCGCGGUAAUACGUAGGUGGCAAGCGUUGUCCGGAUUUACUGGGCGUAAAGGAUGCGUAGGCGGAUAUUUAAGUGGGAUGUGAAAUACCCGGGCUUAACCUGGGUGCUGCAUUCCAAACUGGAUAUCUAGAGUGCGGGAGAGGAGAGUGGAAUUCCUAGUGUAGCGGUGAAAUGCGUAGAGAUUAGGAAGAACACCAGCGGCGAAGGCGACUCUCUGGACCGUAACUGACGCUGAGGCAUGAAAGCGUGGGGAGCAAACAGGAUUAGAUACCCUGGUAGUCCACGCCGUAAACGAUGGGUACUAGGUGUGGGAGGUAUCGACCCCUUCCGUGCCGCCGUUAACACAAUAAGUACCCCGCCUGGGGAGUACGGUCGCAAGAUUA